rnacentral:rRNA from 1 species
UACGUAGGGGGCAAGCGUUGUCCGGAAUCAUUGGGCGUAAAGCGCGUGUAGGCGGCUCGAUAAGUCUGCUGUGAAAGUCCAGGGCUCAACCCUGGGAUGCCGGUGGAUACUGUCGAGCUCGAGUCCGGAAGAGGCGAGUGGAAUUCCUGGUGUAGCGGUGAAAUGCGCAGAUAUCAGGAGGAACACCGAUGGCGAAGGCAGCUCGCUGGGACGUGACUGACGCUGAGAACGCGGAAAGCGUGGGGAGCAAACAGG